AAAGUUAGAUCUCUGUCAAUCUCCUCUCCCUUUGGCUGAGUCAUUCUUGCCAUCCUUCGACUUUGUAUGGCUGCGCAAACCUCCAACGUCUUCGAAGUUGCCUCUAUAGAAGAUGUAUUAAGUCCAUCAAUCCCUGUUUCCCUUGGUUGAGCCAAGAACGUGUAUGGCCAUUGAUACUCAAACUUAUCCAUGGUACCUGAAAAGAGAGAAAUA
rnacentral:lncRNA from 1 species